AAGGCAGCAGGCGCGCAAAUUACCCACUCCCAGCACGGGGAGGUAGUGACGAAAAAUAACGAUACGGGACUCAUCCGAGGCCCCGUAAUCGGAAUGAGUACACUUUAAAACUUUUCCCGAGGAUCAAUUGGAGGGUAAGUCUGGUGCCAGCAGCCGCGGUAAUUCCAGCUCCAAUAGCGUAUAUUAAAGUUGUUGCGGUUAAAAAGCUCGUAGUCGAAUCUGUGUCCCGCGCCGCUGGUUCAUCGCUCGCGGUGUUUAACUGGCGUGUCUCGCGGGACGUCCUGCCGGUGGGCGCUCGUCCGUUUCGGCGUGGCGUGGCCCAACUCGUAGCCGUCUCGCGCGGUUGCGAAUCCCAUCGCGGUGCUCUUUAUUGAGUGUCGAGGUGGGCCGGCACGUUUACUUUGAACAAAUUAGAGUGCUUAAAGCAGGCCAAUUUUGCCUGAAUAUUGUGUGCAUGGAAUAAUGAAAUAGGACCUCGGUUCUAUUUUGUUGGUUUUCGGAACCCCGAGGUAAUGAUUAAUAGGAACGGAUGGGGGCAUUCGUAUUGCGACGUUAGAGGUGAAAUUCUUGGAUCGUCGCAAGACGGACAGAAGCGAAAGCAUUUGCCAAAAACGCUUUCAUUGAUCAAGAACGAAAGUUAGAGGUUCGAAGGCGAUCAGAUACCGCCCUAGUUCUAACCAUAAACGAUGCCAGCUAGCGAUCCGCCGACGUUCCUCCGAUGACUCGGCGGGCAGCUUCCGGGAAACCAAAGCUUUUGGGUUCCGGGGGAAGUAUGGUUGCAAAGCUGAAACUUAAAGGAAUUGACGGAAGGGCACCACCAGGAGUGGAGCCUGCGGCUUAAUUUGACUCAACACGGGACACCUCACCAGGCCCGGACACCGGAAGGAUUGACAGAUUGAUAGCUCUUUCUUGAUUCGGUGGGUGGUGGUGCAUGGCCGUUCUUAGUUGGUGG
rnacentral:rRNA from 1 species